UACAGAGGGUGCUAGCGUUAAUCGGAUUUACUGGGCGUAAAGCGUGUGUAGGCGGUUCGUUAAGUCGGAUGUGAAAGCCCUGGGCUCAACCUAGGAAUUGCAUUCGAUACUGGUGGGCUCGAAUCCGGGAGAGGGAUGUGGAAUUCCAGGUGUAGCGGUGAAAUGCGUAGAUAUCUGGAGGAACACCGGUGGCGAAGGCGGCAUCCUGGACCGGUAUUGACGCUGAUGCGCGAAAGCCAGGGGAGCAAACGGG
rnacentral:rRNA from 1 species